UUAAUACCGCAUGUGGUCGUAAGACCAAAGCCGGGGCAACCUGGCGCUUUUGGAGGAGCUCGUGGCCUAUCAGCUAGUUGGUAAGGUAACGGCUUACCAAGGCAACGACGGGUAGCUGGUCUGAGAGGACGACCAGCCACACUGGAACUGAGAUACGGUCCAGACACCUACGGGUGGCAGCAGUCGAGAAUUUUUCUCAAUGGGGGAAACCCUGAAGGAGCGACGCCGCGUGGAGGAUGAAUGCUUUCGGGUUGUAAACUCCUGUCAUUUGGGAACAAGGCCUUACGUUACUGCGUGGAGGAUUGAUAGUACCAGAAGAGGAAGAGACGGCUAACUCUGUGCCAGCAGCCGCGGUAAUACAGAGGUCUCGAGCGUUGUUCGGAUUCAUUGGGCGUAAAGGGCGCGUAGGCGGCGGGGUAAGUCUGGUGUGAAAUCUAGGAGCUCAACUCCUAAACUGCACUGGAUACUACUCUGCUAGAGGACUGGAGAGGAGACUGGAAUUCACGGUGUAGCAGUGAAAUGCGUAGAUAUCGUGAGGAAGACCAGUAGCGAAGGCGGGUCUCUGGACAGUUCCUGACGCUGAGACGCGAAGGCCAGGGGAGCAAACG
rnacentral:rRNA from 1 species